rnacentral:lncRNA from 1 species
UCAAUGCUGUAGAAAUUGUUUCUCCUAAAAAAAUCAUGUAUUACACAGUGGUCAUGGGUGUCAAGACUUGGACUUCAGAAACUGACAUUCAUUUAUACUAGAAUCAUACCCUGUUUGUAACAUUACUUCUUAUUUUACGCAUUUUUCAUAAUUGCAUUAUGUAUAAACUAUCAACUAUCAGUCCAUAGGACACUUCUUCCUUGAGCAAUUAGCAUCCAAAAAAGACUCAUUCCCCAAACAGUUAAAACCGCUCCACACACCAAGACCCCAAUAAUUUAGUUCAUACAAAUCAAAGGAACUUCCAAAUCAAGCAUGGGACUUCAAAAAGAGACAUUCAUUUAUACAAAAAUCAUACCCUGUUUGUAACACUAAUUCUUAUUUUACAAAUGCAGAAUUGCAUUAUGUAUAACCUAUCAGUCCAUGGGAGAAUUCUUCCUAGAGCAAUAAGCAUCCCAAAAAACUCAUUACCCUAACAGGUAAACCAUUCCAAACUCCAACACCACAUCAAUUAAGUUCAUGCAAAUCAAUGGAACUUUCCCGGUCAAACAUGGGAGUUCCUAUUUUAGACAGAAGACUUAGGAUAAUCUGUACAUUAUGCAAUCUCAGGUCAAAUUGAGGGCCUUGACAUGUCUCACACACUGUCAUCUCCGAACAUGCUACUUAAAUGACUGGAGAAGAUGAAGUUGUUAGAAUUAAGCUAAUAUAGCCUCCUUUUUUUUUUUUUUUUUUCGGCCUUCACAAAUGGAAGCCAACAAAAGAUCUAGCAUAAUUUUUAUUUCAUCAAUGAGAUGUAAUAUCAGGGAUUACAUAACAUAAACUGCAGAAUAGAAAGUAUAUACAUGCGAAACUAUUACAUACAAAAAGUACUAACAUCUUGCAAGAUUUCGGACAACUUGCCAGAAGGACAGUUAAUCUCUUGUCCAAAUAGAACAGCAUUUUUUAUUAAAUGCCAAAUCAUCAAACCAUAAAUAAAGUAAAGAUGGAUAUAUAACAUUUUCCCAUGGACUAUAAACAUGCAUGUGCACUUCACCUGUUACUACCCAUGAUAAAAUGAAGGCAUCUCAUUCCAGAAUAGGUAGGUCUUCCUCUCUAACACUGGACUCCUAAAGCUAGUCCUAAUUCUCUAAGGAAGGACUCCUGUAAAACAAUUAAUGUUCUCCUUAACCAAUAAGGACUCAAAAGACUCAGUAGAAAUAUGGGAAUAAUUAUAUAUUUUAUAGAUGACCUUUCAAACAUGACUCGUUUAUGUGUCAUGGCACAAUUGGUCCCAAAUACAUACCAAUUAAAAUAUGGGUUUCUCCAUGUUUAAAGUUAGUAGAAAAAAGAAUACAUUAGUAGAAAAAAGAAUACAUUAAGUGAAAUUUUUCCUGCUACAUAUUUGUCCACAACUAUAUAUUUGUUCAUCUGAAGAAUAAUAUUUAUUAAUUAUAUGAUAAUGGAUAGGACCAAUACAUAUAAUACAAGUUUUUGUUGCUCCGAACCAUUAUACUUGAUGUGUUAGGCAUUUUAUGUUUUAGAGUCACUACCAUUAUUUUCCCUUUUCUGCACCACUUCCAACCAACAUUUUCAAUUUUUUCUACAAUUUAAAUCCUUCAAAAAUUGCCUAAAUUAGCUUAUUCUUGAUUUUGCUUUAUAACAAGGCAAAAAUCAAGAUAAGAGUAUCUGUAGUAUCCUUUUCACACUUUUCUUGAAAAAGGUGUGUUAACUUUGACUUUUCCCAUGUUGAUUACUUGCUUUUGUAAAUGAGUUGUUAACACAUUUGGUGAUGCUAUAUUGCCACUAAUAUCAUACAUUAGUUUGAUCAGUUAGCUAAUGGCAUUUCUCAGUUUUAGUAAAGUCCUUUAACAUUUAUUUUUUAUGCAUUUUGUAACCUUUAUAGAAAUAAUUGUAUAGGGACAAGCUGCAACAUAAAGUGAAAGCAGAGAUAGCCCAUUUCCAUUACAAAAGACCAGAAUUUAACACGAUUGCACAAUAUUUCACUAAAAACUGCAGCCUGCAAAGUUACAAUCUAGGAUCCGCCCUUGAUUAAAAACUAACUAUUUCUAUUUCUAUCAAAAGUAUCCAAUAAGUUGUGCCUAGGAAAUUCUUUAAAUGGGGUGAAAAAUAACUUAACUUACCCUUUCAAGAUGUUGGAGGAGUGCAGCUUUAAAUUGGCGAACACCACGUCCACUAUGAAGUAGGGUCCAACUUAUGUGCCUUCUCAAAGGCAUAAAAUCGGCCUACAUUAAGAGUACCAGAAAAUGAGAAACGGUAUCAAAUGGAAGCUCCAACAUAGAAAUAUGAAAGGAAAAUACCUACAAGGAUGGUUGUUCACCCACAUGAAAAUAAAGAAAAAGUUUGAACUAAAAUCCAUAUAAUCAUGAAAGCUUUCCAAGUAAAUUCAACACUAGUAUGGCAUUUGAAGCCCACAACAGAAUUUUCAGAGCUGAAAAAAUUAUUUCAGGAAAUCAGAAAUACACAAAAAGCUUUAAUUACCUUAUGGAGAUUUAGUAAUCUAGUAAAGGCAGUUGCACAUGCUUUCAGGAAUAUAAACAGCCUAAGACCAGGACCAAGACAGGAAUAAUAUUCAAUUCAUUACAUAAUGCAGCCUUUUUUUUUUUUUCACGAGAACAGAUUUUUCUGAGAAAAGAAAAAACGGAGAAUAGAUUGUGGAGGACAAGCAAUCCUCCACAAUGUUAAAAAGUGCAACCACAUAUCAAAUCUCAUAAUCACAGAAUCACAUGCAACAACCAUCACGUUCGUACAUUCACUCUCACAUAAGCAAGCUUGCCAUGCAACAUGCAAAAGAAAGCCCCAGCAACCCAAAAUACAUUAAGGCAUGUAGAAUGGAAGACAGCGGAGAAAAACGCAUGAUUCAAAUAAAGUCAAAUUUCUCAGAAUUCUGAGCCUUCAAGAUGUAGCAGACACAAGGCGAACAGGCAACCAAACACUACACACACAAGAGGCAGACUACUAUACUGGUAAGUAGAAUAAAGGUGUACUUAGUUACGGUUUAAAAUUCAUGCUGCCAUUACAACCUGAAAUUUGAGAAGCCAUUUUAAUUAAAAAAAAAAAAAAGGUCAGAAAUAUGUGAAAAAAAAAAAUUUUUUUUUUGCCCUCAAAAAAUACUAGAAAGCAAUUCAAAACCCAAAUUGAUCACGGAAAAAAGAUAAAAAGUUAAACAAAUCAGAUUACCCAAAAAAUAAAAAAUAAAAAAGAGCCAAAAAAAUGUAGCCUUCUAUAAACUUACAUAGAUAAGCAACUCUUGGGUUGCUAGAUUCUACUUCAUAAGCAACACGAAGAAUAGGAGCUAUCUCAACUAAUGAAGAUGGCACCACCUCACUGUCAAAUAUCGACUCUCCAAGAUUCCCUGCAGUCUGCGUCCUCGUGAUCCGCCGUGCUGGCGGUGGCGUAGCCUGAUCCGGCCCUCCUCUCAACGAGGAGGUCAUCUGUUUCCGUAUCCGUGAACCUUAUUUCCCUUAAAAAUUUAAAAAUAAAUUAAAAAUAAAAAAUCAAGCUCAUUGCUUCUCUAACUAGCAAUCACACAUCAAAAAUCGAGAAAAAAAAAUAAUAUUGCCAAAAAAUAAACUAAAAUGGAAAAUUUUCAUUUUUAACAAGAAAAUUUAAGAACUAAAGCAAAUCAAUCUUAGUACCAGUACUGGUUAUAGCACAAUAAUAAAGGAAGUACAUUGCAUUAACUGCAAUCAAACACUGCAUAAAAGGAAAGUAGAAAUGCGAAGGAUUAGUUCAAGAGAUUAGUUUAGAACUAACAGAGAGAGAAAGAAACCCAAACAGAAAACCCAACCAGAGAGAGAGAGAGAGGCUGCGACUGUAAGCUACUUAGUAAAGAAGGAAAGCUAACAUGGAAGGUAGGGUAGUGAGUGUCCGAGACACAAAACAGACGGAGAACCAGUGAGGUCAAGCAAAAAGGAAAGUUUAUUUGAAAAAAUUCGACCUUUUUACUGCUAUUGGUCCGAUCUAAUUUUUGAGGUUUGAGUCAUUGAAUUGACCUUCGGUAUUUGAAUUAUUACGGAAAUGCGAUUGGCUUCUUAUUAUGCUUGCAGCUCUUGUGGUAUAGAUUAUAUUACUAAAUUGCCCCCCACCCCCAUAGAGGCACAUCUUUGUUUCUUCCCCUUUUUCAGACACAAACUACUAUUUUAUAUAUUAUUAGUGGCUCUACAAUUUUAUUUUAUUUUUCUUGUAUAGAGAAAAAUAAAAUUGAACUGGAUUAAAGGUGUCUGAUAAAAUAUUUCAUUUUUUUAAGGAAUAUGUAAUUUUUCAUUUAAUAAAAAUUAAUUGAAAAUAACAGUUGCAAUUAGUUUUCAAGAAAAUAACAGUUACAAUUACACGAAAAAAAUAAAGAGAAAUGAUAUUAAUAAAUAAUAUUUUAAUAAAUAUUUAAUUUUUUAAUUUUUAUGUCUCAAUUUUUAUUAUAAUAUUUUUAAUAUUUAUAUAAUUGAUUUGUAGAUAAUUAAUUUAAAAUUUACAAUGUUCGAAUUUAAUUUAACAAAUGUGGAUAAUAUUUAUAAAUUGUAAUUAUAAUAUUAAACUAUUUUUAAAAAAUAUACCAUAAUAAGAUUACAAAAUAAAAUAUUCUAUUCGUUAAUGCUAUUUAUUUUUAUAAUUCUAUUUAUUUAUAGAGUCAAAUAAAAAUUUAUGAUUUUGAUGGCUAUUUUAUUUAGUGAAAAAUUUUUUAUUGAGCUAAUUAUUUAUUUAGUCAAAUUAUUAUUGUUUAUUGUAUUAUUGAUUAUUAUGUCUUGAUAUUUAUAAUUUUAUAUUUAAUUAAUUAAUUUCAAUACAUACUAGGUGGAGGCCAAUUAAAAAAAUAUGCUACAUGUCAUUUCUUGGAAAAACAUGCUCGGUGGAGCCUUAUAGAAAGAUUAUGCCAUAUAUCAAUUUCUUAGAAAAAAAAAUAUUUACUUUAUAUAUACUGAUUAGAAAAUUUUAAUUUUAGUCAAAUACUAGAAUAAACCAAUAUUUCAAAAGAUCGCAAACCGGAAAAAAAAAAAUUGCAUCACAAUAAUAAAAAAAAAAAAAUUAGGAAUAAAGGAUACCUUUAUAUUUUCAUUAAGCAUAUAACGGGGAAAAAAAAUAAAACUUAGAUGAGAGGGCUUCUAAGUUUAAGUGUUGUAAAUUACAGGGAUUAAAUAAUAAUUUUAUCAAUUUUACCAUAUUAUAACGAUUAAAUAGUAAUUCAUCCUUAAAAAAUUUUAUAUUUUAUUUAUUUUUUAACAUUUCUUUUUUGAAAAUGUAAUUUAUUAAUAAUAAUAUUAAGAAUUAUAAAUAAGCAUAUAAACCAGACAUAGGACUUUAAUAUUAGUACCUAAUAAAGUUUGUUGAUCUUUUAAAGAAAUAAAAGAAUUUAUAUUCUUUUAAAUGAAUAUUAGUAGCUAAUAUUAGAUUUCUGCUUUUAACUUAUCUUGACAAAAGAUAUAAAUUUUUAUAACAGCAACUAAUCCGUUAAUUGAUUUGAAUAUUAAAAUAAUAACUUUUUUGAAUCUUCUAUAACUAGAUUGCUUUUUCUAUAAUUUGCAAUAUAUGACGCACACAAAUGGAUAUCCGCCGUUAUGCGUCAAUAGCAUCAAAGAAGGAACAUAUUGUACUAUGAGGCUCCAUUGAUAGAAGAUUUUUACUUGCAAAUAAAGAUCUAAAAUCUCCAACCGAAUAAAAUCAAAUAUCAUAGUUUUGUUUAGUAAUAAACCCUCACAAAGAAGGGGAAAAAAACUCCAAAUAUGGAGACAAACAACAAUAACAAAAUAAAAAAAAAUAAAUUUGUUAUAGGAAAAACAGAUCUGAGUUUAUUAAAGCAAAAACAGAUUAAAGCAAAAAAAGAUGAAGCGAAAAAAGUAUUAGAAAAUAGGAGGUACUAAAUCUAGGGUUAAAAAACUAAAGAACAAGAAGAAGAAAAGAUAUAUAUAUAUAUAUAUUUAACAAUUAUUAGACUAGUCAUUUAUCAUUAUCGUGAAUGAGACAAUUCUUUUUCAUUUGUAAAAAGAUAAAGAGCAGUACUCUUUUAAAAAUAUUCCUUAAUGAAAUUAAUAUACAAAUUUUAUAAAUUGAAUAAGAGAGAAUAAAAUAGUGUUGGUGUAGAAGUUGGCAAUAUUUUUUCUUUAUUUGUUAGUAAACUUUUAAUACUGUUUCAGGGCUUAUUAAUUUAGUUAUUUAUUUUUACUGUUAGUUGGUAGUUAGUGAUUAAUAAGAAUCAUCAUUCGAUUCAAUUGAACUAAAUUUAUUAAAAAUAUUAAAUUUAAAAAAUAUAAAAAUUGAACCAAACUAACUAAAUAUGUUUAUAAAACCAAAUCAAACCGAAAAUAAUUCAAUAUUGUUAAUAAAAAAAUAAAAUUGAAAUAAUCGAACAAAUAAUUUUUUUUUACCUUUUCAGAGUAUCCAUUUAGUUCGAAAUUCAAAUUAAGCUGACCGAACAUUAUCUUAAUUUAGUUCGAUUUUCUAAUUUAAUAUGAAAUUUAAUCAUGCUCAAUAAUUUGAUUAUUGCCAUUUAUUUGAAACAAAAAAAAAUUGAAAUUCAUAUUUAACUAACUAAACCACAAUGAUUUUAUUGAAAAGUUAAUUCGAACUAAAUAGAAUAAUAUUAUAUUUAUUUGAUUUAAUUUCUUAGGUAAAACCAAAGCUUACUAACCCAUAGUUUUUUUUUUUUUUUUUAAAGGAAGAAAAUAUCAUUAGUCAGAAAUAUCAUAUACAAUAAGAGCUUCUAUAUUUCUUGGAAGCUCAUGCAAAAGACGAGUAUAUGAAUGAGCAACCCAAGCUAAAGAGUGAGCUACUCUAUUAACUUACCUUCGUAUCCAUUUAACAAUAGUGUUAUUACUUCAUAAACUCAAAUGCUGAUAGUCAGCAAUCAUCAAGCCCCAUUCGGAUAGGUCAGUAGCAUUACUUUGAAAAGCUACAACUACUUCCUUAGCAUCCAACCCUACCUGCACAUGUGAGAAGUGCCUGACUUUAAUCCGUGAGAGGACAUCCGUUAAGCCCAACACCUCAGCCAUUUUAGCUUCAUAAACACCAUUGAAAAAAUCAGAUAAGGUAGUAACAAAAUCUCCACUCCUAUUAUGAAACACAAUGCCAAAGCCCACUUUAUUUAAACCCUCAAAAACGGCCGCAUCUACAUUGCACUUUAAAAAACUAGCUGCUGGAGGAGACCAGCCUAACUGCAGAGUAAGAAUAACAGCUUGAAGCCUACCAUUUUCAUUAACACACUGAGCUUCAGACCAUUCGUGAAGAUAAUGCAGAGCUGCAGCAACCAACUGGCAAGGGUCAGAAACAAAUUUCUACUAAAUAAACAGGUUCUUGUGGAACCAUAUGAACUAAACAACACAACAUCUCUGCACCAUUUCAUCCCCUAAUCUAUCCUUGACAUUCAGCAACCAAUACAUAAAAGAGACACCAUCUACACUCACCAAUCUAGCAUCCAACAAAAGCCAACACAUAGCAGCUCGCAGACACCAUAACAAAAGAUGUUCGAUAGUUUCUGCCUAAUCAUAAUAUGCCCAACAGACAUUAACAUGAAUGCCCCUCCUCGAUAAACUAGACCUAGUUGGUAGAAUAUCACAACACACCUUUUAAAGAAAACUUUUAACCUUAGAAGGAACUCCUAGAUUCCACAAGAACUUCUAGAAGCGUUGCACCUAUAACCUGUAACAAGAGUGCAUUUUAAAGGCCCAAUGAUAGGCUGAUUUGACAAUGUAGGUCCCCGCUCUCUCCAAAUGCCAGACAAUUGCAUCAUCACAGUUUUGCAUACCUAAAGGAAUUUGAUGAAUACGAUCAGCAUCAACAGGAGCAAAAAGGUCACGCACAAAGCCUUCAUCCCAUAUUUUAGUAACAAGGUUAAUCAAACCAAACACUUUAAGCUCCUUAAAACCUUCGACAAUAUCUGAUUCUACAUGAAAAUUAGGACUACUACACACCCAAGGAUCAUCCUAAACACAAAGUCUAGACCCAUUUCUAACUCUCCACCGAAUUCCGGCUUUUAGCACAGGUUGAGAACAGAAAAGACUCCUUUAUAUAUAACUCGAAUUUUGGCCUAAAAUGGCAUUACAAAGAUCCCCAUCUGGAUAGUAUUUUCCUUUGAGGAUCUGUGAUAGAAGAGCACUUUGGUUGGUUAUUAGCUGCCAACCUUGCUUACCCAAUAAAGCUAAAUUAAAACUAUGAAGGUGUCAAAAACCCAUACCUCCAUUACUUUUACUCAAACACAUUUUAUCCCAAGCUAACCAAUGAAUGUUUUGCCUUCCGUCCUUCUUUGAAUCACAAAAAAGAAUUCAAUAUCCUUUCAAGCUCCAUAUAGGUAGUCACAGGUAAUAAAAACACACUCAUGUAACAAGAUGGUAUUACUUAAGCCAUUGAUUUAAUGAGGACUUCCUUACCUGCCUUGGUUAACAACUUGCUUUUCCACCCUUGGAGAUGCUUCCAUAUCGGAUCUCGAAUAUCGGCAAACACAGUUUUCUUGCUUCUGCCAACUAUAGAUGGGAGGCCUAAGUAAUGACCUUGGCCAAGAGUUGUAUGAAUAUUUUACAAACUAGGAAUAUUAAUUCUCAAUAAAUUACUAACGUUAGGACUAAACAUAAUAUCUAAUUUCUAGUAGUUAAUAGUUGCCCAGAAGCUUGCUCAAACAAAGAUAAAAUAUGCUUAACUCGAUUCACUUCAAAAAUAUUUGCUCGAAAAAAGAAAAAAAUUGUUGCUUACUAAAAGCAAAUGAGAAACAGAAGGUGUACCUUUAAUAAUUUGACAGCCAUGGAUAUCACCACACCUCUCCGCCUGUCUGAAUAAAGCUAAAAGCCCCUCCGCACACAACAAAAAUAGAUAAGGCAAUAAUGGAUCCCCCUGCCUCAAACCCCUCUCAGGGAAAAUAGCCUAUAUCCAUUCCAUUAAAGGAAAUUGAAUACUUUACCGAAGAAAUACAUAGCAUAAUCAAGUCAGCCCAUCAUGAAGCAAGACCCAUGUUAAUUAUCAUCGCUUGAAGAAAACCCCAAUCCACACAAUCAUAACACUUGCUAAUAUCAACCUUUAGCGCGGCUAGACAUUUCUUUCCAAAAGUUUUUCGCUUCAUAAACUGGAGGAUCUCAAAAGCUACCAACACAUUGUCAUUGAUAAGUCUACCCGGCACAAAAGCUGAUUAACAUGGGGAAAUAACUUUGUCCAAUACUUUUUUCAACCUGUUAGCUAAAACCUUCGCAAGAAUUUUAUAAACCACAUUACAGAGAGAAAUUGGCCAAAAAUCUCUAACUGUUUGAGGAGCCCCAAUUUUUAGAAUUAAAGCUACAGAGGUACAGUUAGGAAAAUUUGAAAAUUCACCGGUUGACAAUCAAGUCUUACAGUUGAAAAUCACAUCUGUCCCCACAAUUCGCCAAAAAUUCUAAUAAAACUAUACAUUUAAACCAUCAGAACCUGGACUCUUAUACGGAUGCAUUUGGAAUAAAGUAAUCUUAAACUCAUCAUCUAUAUAAUGCAUAAGGAGCAUCUUCUUGUUAGCCGGCAAAAUAGAAAGAAUAAUAAAAUCUAUAACAGAAUCAUAAGAGUGUGGCGAAGCAGAAAAUAAAUCAGUGAAAUAUCUUUGAACAAUACUCCCAUUGUAACGUCAUCUUCACACCAAACCCCAUCCUCAUCAUACAACCCCUUAAACAAAUUAAUACGAUUUUGUUGCAUUGCAGCUGCACGAAAGAAUACUAUGUUGCUAUCACUAUUUUUCAACCAAAACACUUUGCUGCGCUGCUACUAAAAUAUUUCCUCUUGAGCUAAGAUAUUAUUCAAGUUGAUUUUAGCUUUCUUAUAAUCCGCAAUCGACGCAGCAUCAGUUAGACCAUGCAAACUAACCACAGCUAUUAGUGGUCGAUUAAAUUGUGAGUGUUGGUCAUUUUUGUAAAAUUUUAGACAAUUACUAAAACAUAGAGCUUGUUCAACAAUAAUUUUUAGUGUUAUUAUUUUGGCAUAUUCGGCAACACCGUUUUGGAUAGCUUUUAGUGUUUUGAAUUAGUCAAAACACUUUUUCUCUAAAUUAUUAUUUUCAGUAACCUGAUAUAUGAAAUAGAUUUUAGAGGAUGAAUGAGCAUUUUCUAAAACAUUAUCCCGCCUGAUGUUUAGCUGCUUAGGUUUUUUUACUUCUUUUAUGCUUUAAAAUAUUUCUUUAUCACAUUAUAUCUUUUUAUUAUUUUUUAUGCUUGGCUUGUUUAUAAUUGACAGUAAGCAAAAAUGUUUAUUUGUUUUUUGCCUCCGAAGGCGAACGGGGAUUAGUCAGGUUUGUGGACUAUUAAAAUGAAUACGAGCCUGGAUACCUCAUGCAACUAUAAAAAAAAUGUUUGUUUAUAUAUUUGCAUUUGAACUCGAGAAAAUGUUAAAAAUUAAAAAUAUUAAUCCACUAAAAUAUUAAAAAUUUCCAAUUUUAUUUAUAAAAUAAUGAACUGUUUAAUUUUUGCUCUCUUAAAUUUUGAAAAUUUAGGUUCAACGAAAUCAUCUUUUGUGUUUUUUUAUACCGAGUUUAAUUCUAUGGUUAUAAGCGAAAAUUCUAAGUGAAUAUUACUUUAUCAUUUUAAAUUUAAUUGUCAAUCAAACAACUUUUUAUCAAAUACUUUCGCUUUCAGUUGCUACUUAAAUAGCUAACAACUAGCAGCUAACAUCUAACAACUGACAUGUAAUAGUUAAAAGCUACUAAAAUAGCUAACAACUAGUAGGUACUAGAACUAAAUUUGUCAAAUGGACCCCUAGUCAAAAUACAUGAUGUUUAUAUUAAGAUUGAGAGGUUGAAAAAAGUAAAUUAUAAGACAUUGUCUCCUAUCAACAAGUAAAAUAGCUAAAAACUAUUAGAAUAAUUAACUUCUAUUAAAACACUAAUGUUACAAAGAAAGAGCAUAAAAUCACCAUAUUAUAUAUAUAUAUAUAUAUAUAUAUAUAUAUUUAUAUUUAUAUUUAUAUAAUCCUGAAACCAAAAAAUCUUUAUAAAGCGGACGUGUCACUUCCAUGUUUGAGUGUUGUUUUUUUCUCCUUUUUUUAUAAAUUUUCUAAAUUUUUAGUAAUUGUUGAGCAUUUUUAUUUUCAUAUCUAUAUAUAUCUAUAUCUAAAAUCUAAAAUUUUGAAUAAUUAAAACUUUAAAAUUUUUGAAUUAUUGAAUUUAAAAGUUUGAAACUUUUGAAGGUUUGAAUUUAGAACUUCAAAAAAUUUUAAAUUUUUUUCUUAUCAAUAUAUAUAUACCUCUUUCAAUGAUUAUUUUAACAAUGGUUUUCUUCUUAUCUUUUUAUUGUUUCUUUCAAUCAUUUUAUUUAAAUUUCCUAGGUUUUGGCUAUGUUUUUAUUUUCAUGUGUGUGUUAUUGUUGUUUUUCCUUCUUUUUCUUUCCAGAAUUUUUUAACUAUAUGAAAUGAUAUGUAUGCAAAAAGAAGUGAAUAUAGAGGCAAAGAUAAGAGCAGAGAAAGGACCGAUAUUAACUGAAUCUCAUUAUUAUGAUAAUUUAUUUUCUAUCUUUGUAUUAUUAGUUGUAUGAUAUUGAAUAUGUUCAUUAGGAGUUUUUUUUUUUAAUUUAUUUGUAUAGUUUUUAUGCUUAUGAAUGAAAGGUAAGUUUUUAUUUAUUAUUGUUGUUAUUAUUAUUUUGCACUUUCUUUUAUUUGUUUUGUUUCCUAGGGUUGGAGGUUAAAAAGAAAUCUAAACAUUAAAUUUAAUAAAUACAUUUAAAAUAACAAAGAAAGCCAAUAAGAUAACAUCUGAUAAAUUCAAAAAUAAAUAUAUUUAAUAAAUUAAAAAGAUGAGAUACCUAAUAUUCUUAUCAUUUACAUUUUAAAUUUAUUAUCUAAAUAUUAAAAAAUUAUAUAUAAUGAUUAUAUUUUAAAAUUAUAUUCAUUUAUCAUAAUUGUCUAUAUCUAUAUUCAAUUUUGAAACUUUUUAUUAGAUCAUUUAAGAUUUUUUAAGUUUAAAAAUUAGUACUAAUUUAAAAUAAUUAUCUAUAUUGAUAUUUGAUUUUUUUAGUUUUAGAUUCGACUAUUCAAUUUUUCUCCAUCUAUUUAUAAUAAUUUUAUAUUUUUAUAUCUAUAUAUAUUUACUAUUGUCUUUAUGCUUAUUUGCAAAAAAUUCUGUAUAUAUCGAGAAUGUGUUUACUGUAUUUUAGUUAUAAGUAUAUCUUUUAUAAUAUUUUAUUUGCUUCUUUUUAUUUCUGUCAAGUUGUAUGAUUUAUUUUAUAUAUACAAUAAAAAAAAGCCUCUAAUGAGAUAUAUGAUAAUAAAGUAAUAAACAACCCGCGUAAUGCGCGGGUUUCUACCUAAUUAUGUAAAUAUAAAAGCUACAUAUAUCAUUUUCUGUUUUAGUGUACUGUGUAAAUAAAAAUAGUAAUUAAGUCUUUUUAAUAAUAUUUAAUAAUUAGUUUUAUUUUUAAAUAAUUACAAAUAAAAUAAUUCAAUAUCGGCUUAGUAUCUUUGAAUUGAAAUUAAAGGCUUUUACUGUAGGGGUAAUCUCGUAAGAGCAUGAUCCUACAUAGCUUAACCUGCAAAUAUAUACAACAUGGGUAUGGCAUGUUAAAACCAAGAACACUAUGGGCAAUUGUGGUAGGUGAUUCAAAAUUCAUAAAAAGAGGCAAGAUUCUUAAUGAUCUAAAGCUAAAGCGCCGGAUAAAAAAGUAGCCGUUUUAGUAAGAAGCUUCAAUUCACCAUUUUACCCUUACUCUCUUAUUUAAUUACCUAAACUCAACCCAUAACUCUCAAAAACUGCGGGGGCGAGAGAAGUAAAUUGAAACAAUCUAUAAGCCAAGCCAAGUUUUAAGUUAGGUAAAUAAAGAAAAUGUGAAGGGCAGUUAGGACAUUUCGAGGAGUAAUAUCGCUGGGAGAAGAGAUAAAUGUCGGUUUGUUCUGUUCUGUGCAAAAAUUCCACAAAUGCUUUUUGUUAUUUUAUUUGUUUAUUGGGUCCCACUGCCAUUAGUCGCAACUGACAACAGCAGUAGUCUACUCUACUCUACCGCGAUGGGACCCAAUAAGACCACAGGACCUGCUCUGACGUGGCAUUCACUGUCUGGGGCCUAUCUAUCUUCUGUGUAUUUUCUAUUUGUUCCUUUGGCUUUUAAAAUUUAAAGAACCGUUUUCCUAUGCAUUGGUUGGGCUCCAUGCUGAUGCUGACUCCGAAUAUUUUACAGGCUAAAUUGAUAUAUAUAUCUAAGCUCUGGACGUAGUUUUAAUUGUAAUUUAAAUUUAAUUUUGUUCUUUUAAUAUGUUGAAUUUUCAUUUUAGUUAUAAUAAUAUUCUAAUUUUAAAUUGUAUCUAAUUUUAUGAAUAAAAUAUUAUUUUUAUAGAAUUCAAUUUAAUAUUUUCCCCAAAUUACACUAAUAAAUAAAUAUUAUAUUUAUUUAUAUAAAUAUUAAAAUAUAAAUAAUAUAUUCAUCUUAAAAAAAAAUACUUUUAUUCCUUUAUGCAAUAUUAACAAUAAAUAAUGAUUCCUUAAAAAUAAAAUGACGUCAUAAUGAAUAAAACUUAUUUUUAUAAGAAAUUUAAACUGAAUAUAAAUAAAUUUCUAUGCUUAAAAAAUGCCAAAACAAAAAGGAAUAAAGAUUAAUUUGGUCUCUCAACAUGUUUAGCAUGAUAAAAAAGGUUAGAUUUAAUAUUUCGGACCAAUUUAGCUCUUGAACUUGGAUAAAAUGAUUAAAAAGAUCUAAUUUCACUUGUAAGUCAAUUUAACGCCCGAACUUAUUUAAAAUAAUUAAAAAAAAUCAUGUUUGACAUUUUGAGUCAAUUUAACAUCUAAUUCUUUGUUGUACUUAUAAUGUGAAAAUCAUUAUAUAGACGUUUAUUAAAACUGCAGUUGGUAUCAAGCUUACUAAUUUAUUAAAAAAUUCAUUAAUUACAAAAUAUAGGAAAAAUGAUAUAUGAAGUGUAUUGUUUCUCUCUUUACCUUGAUUGAUGGUUUUGAGCUUAUAAAUAUGUAUUAAUUUAAACAUUUUAAAAUUAACCUAUAUUACUAGGUUAUCGCUUAUGAAAUCUAUACAUUUUUCAUGUUAAAUAAAUUAAAAGUAUAAUGCAUGUUUAUAAAUUUAUUUUAUUAUAAGAAAUGAUGUUUUUACGAAUAUUAAAUUUUAUAUUCAUAAGUGUUGAAAAAUUUUGAUCUAUGUAUUCUUAGUGUAGGACAAAAAUGAAUAAAAAGUCAAUAUUAUUAAUUUAUAAAAAUCAAAACAAGUUCAAGGGUUAAAUCAACCUAAAAAGUGAAAUUAGAUAUUUUUAAUCAUUUUAUACAAGUUCAAGGAUUAAAUUGGCCCAAAAGAUCAAAUCUGACAUUUUUUUAUCCCGCUAAACAAGUUCAGGAACCAAAUUUACAUUUAUUCCAAACAAAAAUCUAAACUAAUAUUUUAUGCUUAUAACUAGCUAAAAUUUAGAAUUUUACUUGCCUUUUAUGAAUUUAAAUUUCUAACCAAUAUAAUUAGUUAGGGUAUUAUUAAAUAGUGAAUUUUUAGUUAUCCUAACCAUAAGAGAGAAUAUAGAUCCAAAGAAAAUAAUAUUUUAUUCAUUACAUAUGAUAUAAUUUGAAAUUAAGAUGCUAUUGUAACUAAAAAUUGAAGUUCAAGAUACUAGGAGAAGAAAAUUUGAUUUAGGUUACAAUUAAAACUUCCCAUAAAGUUUGGGGUAUUUUUAAUGAUUUAGCCUAUUUUAUAAGGGUUUGAGCUGAAUUAUUGUGCAAUCUUUCAAAUUAAUAUUUAAACUAGUCGUAAAACAACGCUUCGCGCAUAGUGUGUUUAAAUAAUAUUAUUAAAUAAAUGUGUAUUUUCCUUUUAGAAUUUAACUAUAUAAAAUGUCUUUCUCCUUUUAAUUAGUAGACAUUAUAAAAGAAAAAAAAAAGAAAUGAUAUUUUAAAAAGAGAAAAAAGAAAGAGACUUUUAGCUAAGGAAGCUCUCUCUUACAAGGAGCUCAUGUUCAUGGAAGAAGUCCUUUCAUUCCUAGAUGUUCUUAUUCAGGCUUAUAUAACAUUAUUUUCUUAAUAAUAUUAGUGUUAGAACCUACUAUAUGCGCGAAUCAUUAUUAAAGGAUGAAAUUAGAGAUGUAAACGAGGCUAGUAUCGGAAAUUUUGAACUACCUGUAAAUUAACCAUAUCCGUUUAAAAUUUUACUCCACGUAUUUGUCCCAACCCCGUUAAAUAUCAAUUUAAGUACUCAUAUCUGAACUCUUUUAGAAUUUUACUACUCGUAUCCAUUCCAAACUCGUUUGAAGUACCCCUUAAAUGGAUUCGGUAUCCGCACAUUUUAAAUUAUUCAAACCCAAACUUAUUUAAAAUGCAUUUGUUACUAAUAAAUGCGGUACCCACGAGCAAAGCCGUUUAUGUCACGAUCCAUUCCCGUGGGCCGGACAGGCACUAGGGUCUAGGUAAGCUUAAGGCCCCUGGGGUCCGUAGUAAACCUAAACUACUCAACUUAUACAUGCCACACCAUUUAACAGGAACAGUAAGCCCAUACAAGUUAGGAUAUAAAAUAUAGAUAAAUAUUAUACAAUCCGGUCCAGUCUUAAUUAUCUCGAAUAAAGUUUAGUCUGGACCUAAUCAUGAUAAAUCACAUUCACAAUAUGGGCAUACUGAUUCACCUGCGUCUAAUUAUACAACAAAUCAUUUAUAAAGUAACGCAUACGGCAAGGCCAAUUGAAAAUACACAACCCUAUAACUGCGGAGUUCAACAAUAAUUUGGAAAUAGAGUAGUGUAUAUAUUUAAUAACAUAAUUCAACUAAUAACAAAAAGUCAUAAAUUUACUUUUGUAGCUCUGCGAGAAAAAUUAUAGAGUUUCAGUUGAGCAGCAGCUUCCGACUACCUGAGAAGUUUAGAGAGAAGGGGGGUGUGUUUUGCAACUCAAUGAAUAAUAAUAAAUAAUACACACCACAUACAGUCACGCAAAAUGCACCCUAGUAUGCUGAAUGAACACACAACAGUCAAUCAUAUGGCAUAGUAUCAGCACCCAUAAUUAAUAUCACCUUCAAAUAAUCACAUCAAGUGGAAAUUAGUCAGUGGCGUCACCUAAACCCCUGACGACGAGCCAUACUCUCACAUGGCCCAUCCUCUCAAACGUGUGCACCCGGGGAGCCAAUCCCCCAUACCUGGCCGACCGGUCUAAUCCUCACAUGACCAAUCCUCUCAUUUCUUUUCCAUACCAACAGGAGGCAAUCCGGUGGUCUCCGUCAAAUCUAGAUCAUCAAGUGCACACAACAGGAGGCCACCCUGUGGGCUUCCAUGACAUCCAGAUUAUCAAAUGCACACGACAGGAGGCCACACUGUGGUUUCUAUAUAAUCUACAGUAUCAGGUGCUCACGGGGGCGUCGAUCUCCCAUUUUCCCGACCGACGGUCAAAUUUCAUAAUUUCAACAUAAUCAGGAUCCAUGCUUUAUCGACCAUCCUGAUAAACCCAUAGUGACCCACUUUAUCCCAAUUCCACAUGAACAAAGCACAGUAUAUACAUAGCACAAGUAAUGAAACAAUUCAUUCAACGUAAUACACCGAUUUACAUAGUGUUUGGUUUAAAUGAAUUCCACAAAAUUUUGUGGAAUUCAAUUGAAAUCCAUGUUUUGCUUGUUUGAUAUAUAUAUAUAUAUAUAAAACUCAAUUUGAAGAAUUCAAUUCUGUAGAAUUGGUUAUAACUAAAAUCAAAUUUUCUAUUUAGGUUGAUGGAAUUUGAAAUGAAUUUCGCGAAACUAACAUAACAUUACUUUUGGAACUAAAAUACCCUCAUAUAACAUAUGUAGUCUACAUUUAAUUAUAAUUACCUAUCACUUAGCUUUAAUUUCAAUUUAAUCCAAGAAAGCCAUGUUCAUCCAAAUUCUUGAUAUCUAAUUGUAUAACAACUAAUAGCAAAACUCAAAUUAGUUUAAUUGGGUAAAGAAGAAGAUGGAAACGACAAAUUAGUUUUCUAUCCAUUUACCAUCCGAAUGUCUAGAUAUUAUAUAGAUAUUUUAUAUUUUAAUAUUAACUUUUAAUGGCUAAAUUUACUAUGCCCUUAUCAUUGACAUUAUUUAUAUUGUUAUAUAAAACACUUAUACUAUGAGGCAAGUUAAUUUAUUUUGUAUUUGUUAAUAUUUUGUUAAUUGGUAUAUAUAGUUGUUAAUCAUUAUACACUUAUUAGAUAUAAGAUAUUUCUUUUAUAAAGUUAAAAUUAUUAUUUCUAAAUUUUAUUAUGAGGGUAGUUUAGGAAAUGAGAAUAAAUAAAAUUCAAUUGUGAAAUUAUGCCAAACAAUAUUAUGUGAAGUUUAAUUGAAUUCCACAUUUUAAGCUGUAUCAAACACAAGAAUUCGUUUCUAAAUGAAUUCCAAGUAAAAUUCAUUCCAUAUGAACAUUUCAACUCUUAUUCAUUUCAACAAAACAUUAAUGUUUCAUGUAACUAACCUCAUAUUUGAACUGAAAAUUAAAUUUACAUUGUUCAGUGAUCUAAAAAGUUGGAAUAUGAGGUUAGCAACACUAAUGUUUCUGCAGAUACAUACAGGAAUAUAAAGGAUAAAUAUUUUUCCUAUCUUCCAUGUCCCUUCAUACGGAGAAUCUUUUAAGAGACAAGGAAUGUUGGGAACCUAAUUCUUCCCCAUUUUCUUUUUCCUUAUUCUCUUUUCUUGCCCCAUGGAGGAAAAAAAUUCAUGUUGCCUAUUUUAUGCUUUGUCCUAUUUAUUAAUGUAUCAAAUGAUUUUAAAAUUCCCCUUCAAAUUUUCUUUUUACAAAAGGUAUUUUAAGAUUUUGCUAGUUAUUCUUUGCUCUGCAUUGAUAUUAGUUUGAUCAACACGGAUAUUUGAAAUGAAGAAUACAUAUACCCCAAUUAGUUUAGGACUAAGGCUUGAUCGUGGUUGUUGUGCUUGUUUUAUUUGCUUGCCUGCUUUUUCCCUCCCUCCCUCGUUUUAAAGGGAAAGUACAAUUAACUCCCUCCCAUUCUUCCCAUUUUCUCCAACUUCACUCAAAUCAAGCACACCCUAAAGCUGUAAAUAGAAUUUUCUCAAACGCUUAUGAAGCCCUUAGUUAAAAAUAAAAUAAUACCCUUCUAACCCAUCACCCCACCAACACUAACUUUAACAACUAGAAGAAGAAACAUAAAGUGGAAGAUAGAAACUAUUGUCGAAACUUAUUGAACCCAAGGUAAUGAAAUCCAAUAAGCAAUUACAAAGCUGCUUCUAGUUCAAGUUGAUAGAAAAUGCUUACCAAAGACUACUUUUUCUAUCUAAGAAUUAUUAAAAUAUCACCGAUUAAUUUAGAAAAAUCACCACCAAAAUGGGCUGCCAUAAUGGACCAAGACUUGGGAAGCCUCUAGCCCAAAGUUGGAUGUCCAAGCCCGCAUUUUAGAAUACUCCACAUUACUCCACCUAAAAGAUAUUUUUUAUAAUGUCUACAUAGUUCUAGAAUUCUCCAUGUAAUCUAAACCGUCCAUCUUUUGUAGACAAAUCUUAGACGUACAUUGAGGAGGUGGAAAUGGCUAUAAAUACCACCCCUCACCUCACUUGUAAUGCAACCAAGCAAAAACCAAGUAAGUAAUCCUUUCUUUAAGCUUUGUGAAUAUUUGUUUCUUAUUAAUACAAUUAUAUUUGGUGUUUUGUGUCAGUAAAUACCACCCCUCACCUCACCGUUGUGUAUUGGUUAGUGUCAGGAACACCAUUACCUUAUGGCGGAUUUUUCUGGAGUUGCUAAUAGCAUCGAGAAGCUAAAUAGCAACAAUUACGGGAACUGGAGUACCCGUAUGAGAUAUUAUCUCAUAGGUCAAGACUUAUGGGAUAUCGUCGGAGGAGAUAAUAUUACACCAUCAUUUGGGGAUGCGAAAGCUCUGAAAGAGUGGGAGACAAAAUGCGAGAAGGCAAUGUAUGUGCUGACGGUUGUAGUAGAAGAUGAGCAUAUGCAAUAGAUCAAGUUAGCUAAAACACCAAAGGAAGUGUGGGAAAUCCUCAAGUCUGCUUUUGCCAAGAAGAAUGAAGCAAAACUGCAACGACUCGAAAACGAGUCGUUCUCAAUCUCACCAUAGAACCUCACUGUAAGUCAAUACUUUUCUAAAGUAAAAUCUUUAUGUGAGGAGAUUUCGAAAUUAGAUCCAGACAACGAGAUCAAUGGGACAAGGAUGAGGAGGAUCAUCAUCCAUGGUCUAAGACCUGAAUUUAAGGGUCUUGUGACUGCUACUUGUGGUUAGGCUACACAACCAACCUUAGACGAGUUAGAGAAUAUCUUGUCCAAUGAAGAGACUUUAGACGAAAAAAUGUCUAAAGUAGCUUUGAAGGAUGAUGAGAAAGCUCUCUUUGCUAAAAAGAGGGGAUUUCGAAACGUUGUGAGAGUAGAUGAUGGAAAAGAAAAGAGCAAUCAACAAGGAUGGAGAAAGCAAAAGUGGAGACCAUCACAGCAAGGGAGAUCAAGGCCAGGACAAAGGAAAGACGACUGGCGAGAAAGUGAUCGUUGCUAUAAGUGCAAUAAGAGAGGACAUUUCGCUCAAGAAUAUCGAAGCAAACGAGUAGAAGGAAACACAGCAUCAACCCAGAACGAGCAACAAAGUGAAGAGGAAUGGGAUAUUCACAAUUUCUUUGUCCAGGAGGAAAAAAAUUCGCCACAGAAGCCAGUAGAGAUGAUGAUGAAAGGACCCGAGCAAGAGUCAUCAUUAAUAUCAGUAAGUGAUAGAAUCAACUAUGAUGAUGAUUGGAUAGUUGAUUCUGGAAGUUCUAAUCACAUGACAAGAAACAAGGAGAAAUUAUCAGAUGUAUCCGAUUAUGAUGAAGGUCGUGUUGUAGUCACAGCAAAUAACACGAGAUUACCAAUAGCUCAUAUUGGAAAGACAACCAUUGUUUCUCCCUCCAGUAAGGAGAAAAUGGAGUUACAGAUGGUUUACCAUGUGCCAAGGAUGAAGAAAAACUUACUCUCUGUAUCACAAAUAGCAAGUGCAGGUAAUUAUGUGGUGUUCGGUCCUAAUAAUGUUAAGGUUUAUCAUAACCUUAAAUUAAUCGGAGAUCUAGUCAUGGAAGGACGGCGAGUAGAAUCAAUCUACGUCAUGUCAGCACAAGAAGCCUAUGUUGACAAAACAAGGAAGAACGGGACAGCUGACUUGUGGCACGCUUGUCUGAGACAUGGUAGUUAUCACAAGCUUAAGGUGAUGAUGAAGAAGUCCAUGCUUAAAGGUCUUCCUCAGUUGGAAUGCCGAGAAGACACUAUAUGUGCUGGAUGCCAAUAUGGAAAAGCUCACCAACUUCCCUUUGAAGAGUCAAAACAUAAAGCCAAGGUGCCAUUGGAGUUAAUACAUUCAAAUGUUCUUAGACGGAUCAAGCAAUCUACAAACAGUAAUAUGAGGUACAUGAUUACUUUCAUCGAUGACUACUCGAGAUAUGUUUGGGUAGAUUUCAUGGUAGAGAAGUCGAAAGCUUUUGAAAAAUUCAAAGCUUUCAAGUUUUCAAAAGCUUUCAAGAAGAAAGUUGAAAAAGAAGUCGGGAAUAAAAUUAGAUGCCUUCGUACCGACAAUGGUGGAGAGUACACCUCUGACGAAUUCACUAAAUAUUGCUAAGAGCAAGGCAUUCGAAGGCAAUUCACAUGUCCAAGAACACCGCAACAGAAUGGAGUUGCUGAGAGAAAGAAUCGACACCUAGUGGAGAUUUGCAGGAGUUUGCUCCAUGCGAAGAAUGUGCCAAAUAGAUUUUGGGCAGAGUGCAUGAAGACAGUUAUGUACGUCACCAACAGACUACCUCAAGCAAGACUGGAGUUUACAUCCCUAUUCCAGAAACUAUGGAACAUUAAACCAACUGUAAGUCAUUUUCGCAUUUUUGAAUGCGUGUGUUAUGUCUUUGUUCCGAAUGAACUUCGAAGCAAGUUUGACAAAAAGGCACUUCGCUGCAUAUUCGUUGGUUAUGAUGAGCAAAGAAAAGGCUGGAGAUGUUGUGAUCCUACAACUAACAAGUGCCAUAUUUCACNNNNNNNNNNNNNNNNNNNNNNNNNNNNNNNNNNNNNNNNNNNNNNNNNNNNNNNNNNNNNNNNNNNNNNNNNNNNNNNNNNNNNNNNNNNNNNNNNNNNNNNNNNNNNNNNNNNNNNNNNNNNNNNNNNNNNNNNNNNNNNNNNNNNNNNNNNNNNNNNNNNNNNNNNNNNNNNNNNNNNNNNNNNNNNNNNNNNNNNNNNNNNNNNNNNNNNNNNNNNNNNNNNNNNNNNNNNNNNNNNNNNNNNNNNNNNNNNNNNNNNNNNNNNNNNNNNNNNNNNNNNNNNNNNNNNNNNNNNNNNNNNNNNNNNNNNNNNNNNNNNNNNNNNNNNNNNNNNNNNNNNNNNNNNNNNNNNNNNNNNNNNNNNNNNNNNNNNNNNNNNNNNNNNNNNNNNNNNNNNNNNNNNNNNNNNNNNNNNNNNNNNNNNNNNNNNNNNNNNNNNNNNNNNNNNNNNNCAAAAUCAAAACUCGCCCGGAUGGAUCAAUUGAGCGAUACAAAGUAAGACUGGUUGCUCGUGGAUUUUCUCAAGAGUAUGGCUUGGACUAUGAUGAGACAUUUAGUCUGGUUGCCAAGAUCACUACUGUGCAUGUAUUACUAGCUUUAGAAGCUAGUAAGUCAUGGCCUUUGUGGCAGAUGGAUUGAAGAACACAUUCUUACAUGGUGAAGUUGAUCGUGAAAUCUACAUGGAGUAACCACCAAGGUUCAAACGUCGUGAGAAUCCUAACUAUGUGUGCAAGCUAAGGAAAGCUCUUUAUGGUCUAAAACAAGCACCAAGGGCUUGGUAUGACAAGAUUGCAGAAUUCCUUGUCAAGAAUGGAUAUGUUAUGACACAAGCAGACUCCAGUUUGUUUGUGAAAGAUCAGGAAGGAAGACUAGCUAUAGUGCUAGUAUACGUUGAUGAUUUAAUAGUCACUGGCGAUAAUAGUGAAGAGAUUCAACUCAUUCGAGAGAAUUUGGCUACUCGUUUCAAAAGAUGAAAGAGCUAGAAAAGCCUAGGCAUUUCCUUAGAUUGGAGAUAGAAGAAGCCAAGGAAGGUUUGUACCUCGGACAACAGAAGUAUGCAAGAGAUCUACUGAAGAGGUUUAGAAUGAUGGAAUGCAAGCCAAUAUAUAUUCCAAUGGAUGCUAAUGUCAAGCUGUGUGCUCAUGAAGGGAAUGAUCUCGAAGAUGCUACUAUGUAUAGACAACUAGUGAGAAGCCUAAUCUAUCUCACUAUGACACGACCAGACAUUUCCUUUGCAGUUGGAGUAGUCAGCCGAUUUAUGCAGAAGCCUAAAAAAGCUCAGUUGAAAGCAGUUCGAAGAAUAUUGAGAUAUGUCAAAAGUACAAUCGAUUAUGGGAUCUUUUACAAGAGAGGUGAAAUUAUCAACUUGGAAGGAUAUUGCGAUGUUGAUUAUGUAGGAGAUCACGACACUUGGCGCUCGACAACAUGCUAUGCAUUUAGUCUUGGUUCAAGAGUAAUCUCUUGGUGCAGCAAGAGACAACCUACAGUGUCACUUUCCAUAAUAGAAGCUGAGUAUCGGGCAGUAGCAAUAGCAGUUCAGGAAAGUGUUUGGCUGUCACAGCUUAUGAACGAUCUGCAUCAACCCAUCGACUAUCCAAUUACGUUUAAUUGUGAUAAUCGUUCGGCUAUACAAAUGGCUGAGAAUGUUUAACUAUCAGUUGGGUAUGAUGAAGAAAGAGAAAUUAAUCGUUGAGGGAGAGUAUUAAAAUAUCACUUAUUAAUUUAGAAAAGUCACCACCAAAAUGGGCUGCCAUAAUGGACCAAGACUUGGGAAGCCUCUAGCCCAAAGUUGGAGGUCCAAGCCCGCAUUCUAAAAUACUCCACAUUACUCCACCCAAAAGAUAUUUUGUAUAAUGUCUACAUAGUUCUAGAAUUCUCUAUGUAAUCUAAACCGUCCAUUUUUGUAGACAAAUCUUAGCCGUACAUUGAGGAGGUAGAAAUGGCUAUAAAUACCACCCCUCACCUCACUUGUAAUGCAACCAUGCAAAAACCAAGUAAUCCUUUCCUUAAGCUUUGUGAAUGUUUGUUUCUUAUUAAUACAAUUAUAUUUGGUGUUUUGUGUUAGUAUUAUUUUGGUUGUCUUUCCCGUUAUUAUUUUUGGUGUUAUAAAUUAUUAAUCACUCUUAGAGUUUAUCGCUGCACUUAUACCCAAUAGGUACUUGACCAUUUUCUGUAGUUUUUGAAAAGCUUCUUCAUCACUUCUGUCAAUGCACGCUCAUCCAACUAGAAUGAAAUAGAUAAAAAUAUGUUAAAAGAAGAUGAAAUACAUUGCUAAAAGACUAAUCAAAUGGUACUCCAUAAUCUGCAUUAUAUGAAGCAGUAAAGUAGCUGCUUGUUUCUUUUUGUCUUGCAGUAACAGUAAAUAUAGUAAAGUACAUUUUCUAGUUCAAAAAUAUAAUAUACCAUACGCCAUCACUUUGAUUGUGAUGUACAAGCAAUUCUAUAGCAUGUGUGAUAGAAACAGAACUUUGAAGGUCAAAAAAUCCUGAACAGAACUGUGCCAACAAACAAAAAGGAGAUAAUCAAACAAACAUAGGGGCAGUCUUCUACAGCUGCUAUUUGCCCUUGAGAUGGAAACAUUGGCAGAAUGGAAGCAAAUUCUCCCACAGCAUAGUUUUCUCAAUACUGCCCUCCUCUAAGAAUUAUGUUUUAAAAGGAUUGCCAACUAUUCAUUAAGAAUAUAUAAUGUGGAAGUACAAACCUUGGGUUGUUGAUCAGGCUUUGGAAAUUGUCGAAUGUGCACAUUUGCAAGUACUAAGAUUAAAUGUUCCCUUUGAUUAGCAACAUUAUCCUUCUGCAAAUUUAAUAGGCACCCAAUGGAAAUAGGUCAAGGAAAAAAUGUUACAUACUUCCAAUCAUACUUAAUUAACUGCCAACUUCAAAAUGCUUGGAGAAAUAAUUAUUUGUAGUUCUUUCACCUGAAACCCAAACAUCGCCUGAAGCCAAUCUAAAAUAUCUUCGUCUCUUUUCUUCUUGUGGUCUUUGGGCCAUGGAAGUAGCGGAGAGCUACAACAGCAGCUUGGAUCUACAAAUGGUUAGACACAAGCAUUUUCAUGCUAAGUGAGAGAAGCUAAAACAAAGCUCACUAUCCAAACCACACAUACGAAAUGUACCUCAGGAUAUUUCAUAAUUGCCUGAUUUGCCCUAUCAGGAUCAAGUGGAAGGAUAUUGUAAGGGACAUAUAUCUGAGUCUUUUCUGCAACUUUAUCCUGAGCUUCUAAAAGCUUUACAAUAUCCACAAAGAAUAAGUUACACAUAUGUAACAGAUGGUCAGCAAUUAGCAUUAUUAAGUUGACAAAAUUUGAAAUAGGUGAUAUCUGCCAUUAGAUUAAACAUUCACAAUAGAGUAAAUGUCACAAGGUUUCAACUCACGAUCUACUUCAAUAGAUUGUGUCAUAUUAACAGCUUUCAAAUCCUCAAAGAGAACAUUAGCAGUUUGGUAUGCCUUUGUAAGCUGUGCACUGGAUUUAAAAAGACAACCGUCAAAAAUGGCAACUACGCUGGGAUUCCAGAAAAUAUUAGCUAAGAAAAUUUCUUACUAAGACAUAAGCAAAUAUCUCUAUCUUUUCCCUUCUACAGCAAAAAACUCACCGAUCAGCUUUAUCAGCAGCAUUUUGCAAGGCUUGGAUAUACUUUUUGUAGUAAUGUUGAUAAAAACUCUGCAUUUCCCGCGCAUCACUCUUUUUUACCCUUCCCAUCAAGGUUGGAUCAUUUUCCUGAAAAGAAUUAAAAAAAACCCUCUAGUAGCAAAUAGGAGAGAGCAUAAAAGAAGCAAAUAGCUAAAGGUAUCAUUUAACCAUAUGCUGGUCGUAAUUGUCAAUGCUAUAGAAAUUGUUUCUACUAAAAAAAUCGUGUAUUACACAGUGGUCAUGGGUCUCAAGACUUGGACUUCAGAAACUGACAUUCAUUUAUACUAAAAUCAUACCCUGUUUGUAACAUUACUUCUUAUUUUACGCAUUUUUCAUAAUUGCAUUAUGUAUAAACUAUCAACUAUCAGUCCAUAGGACACUUCUUCCUUGAGCAAUUAGCAUCCCAAAAAGACUCAUUACCCUAACAGUUAAAACCGCUCCACACUCCAAGACCCCAAUAAUUUAGUUCAUGCAAAUCAAAGGAACUUCCAAAUCAAACAUGGGACUUCAGAAAGAGAC